GCUUAACGCGAAGAACCUUACCCAGGCUUGACAUCCCUGGAAGGUCUCCGAAAGGAGACUGUGCCUUCGGGAAUCAGGUGACAGGUGCUGCAUGGCCGUCGUCAGCUCGUGUCGUGAGAUGUUUGGUUAAGUCCAUUAACGAGCGCAACCCUUGUAAGUAGUUGAAUUUUUCUACUUAGACCGCCUCGGUAACGGGAGGAAGGAGGGAUGAUGUCAGGUCAGUAUUGCCCUUACGCCUGGGGCUACAAACACGCUACAAUGGCCGGUACAAAGGGCAGCCAACCCGCGAGGGGAGCAAAUCCCAUCAAAACCGGUCCCAGUUCGGAUAGCAGGCUGAAAUUCGCCUGCUUGAAGUCGGAAUCGCUAGUAACGGUGAGUCAGCUAUAUUACCGUGAAUACGUUCCCGGGUCUUG
rnacentral:rRNA from 1 species